rnacentral:rRNA from 1 species
UGGGGAAUAUUGCACAAUGGGCGCAAGCCUGAUGCAGCCAUGCCGCGUGUAUGAAGAAGGCCUUCGGGUUGUAAAGUACUUUCAGCGGGGAGGAAGGCGAUAAGGUUAAUAACCUUGUCGAUUGACGUUACCAGCAGAAGAAGCACCGGCUAACUCCGUGCCAGCAGCCGCGGUAAUACGGAGGGUGCAAGCGUUAAUCGGAAUUACUGGGCGUAAAGCGCACGCAGGCGGUCUGUCAAGUCGGAUGUGAAAUCCCCGGGCUCAACCUGGGAACUCCAUUCGAAACUGGCAGGCUAGAGUCUUGUAGAGGGGGGUAGAAUUCCAGGUGUAGCGGUGAAAUGCGUAGAGAUCUGGAGGAAUACCGGUGGCGAAGGCGGCCCCCUGGACAAAGACUGACGCUCAGGUGCGAAAGCGUGGGGAGCAAACA